rnacentral:rRNA from 1 species
UACGUAGGGAGCAAGCGUUGUCCGGAAUCAUUGGGCGUAAAGCGCGCGUAGGUGGCCUCAUAAGUCCGCUGUGAAAGUCAAAGGCUCAACCUUUGAAAGCCGGUGGAUACUGUGAGGCUAGAGUACGGAAGAGGCGAGUGGAAUUCCUGGUGUAGCGGUGGAAUGCGCAGAUAUCAGGAGGAACACCGGUGGCGAAGGCGGCGUUCUGGACUGUUUCUGACACUGAAAAACGAAAGCCAGGGGAGCAAACGGG